rnacentral:rRNA from 1 species
AUGCACGCUGGCGGCGUGCUUAACACAUGCAAGUCGAACGGAAAGGCUCCUGCUUGCAGGGGUACUCGAGUGGCGAACGGGUGAGUAACACGUGGGUGAUCUGCCCUGCACUUCGGGAUAAGCCUGGGAAACUGGGUCUAAUACCGGAUAGGACCACAUUUUGGAUGGUGUGGUGGAAAGUUUUUCGGUGUGGGAUGGGCUCGCGGCCUAUCAGCUUGUUGGUGGGGUAAUGGCCUACCAAGGCGUCGACGGGUAGCCGGCCUGAGAGGGUGUACGGCCACAUUGGGACUGAGAUACGGCCCAGACUCCUACGGGAGGCAGCAGUGGGGAAUAUUGCACAAUGGGCGCAAGCCUGAUGCAGCGACGCCGCGUGGGGGAUGACGGCCUUCGGGUUGUAAACUCCUUUCGCUAGGGACGAAGCGUUUUUGUGACGGUACCUGGAGAAGAAGCACCGGCUAACUACGUG